CCUACGGGAGGCAGCAGUGGGGAAUAUUGGGCAAUGGAGGAAACUCUGACCCAGCGACGCCGUGUGCGGGAUGAAGGCCUUCGGGUUGUAAACCGCUUUCAGUAGGGAAGAAGCGAAAGUGACGGUACCUACAAAAGAAGCACCGGCUAACUAUGUGCCAGCAGCCGCGGUAAU
rnacentral:rRNA from 1 species